CCUACGGGUGGCAGCAGUGAGGAAUAUUGGUCAAUGGACGAGAGUCUGAACCAGCCAAGUAGCGUGAAGGAUGACUGCCCUAUGGGUUGUAAACUUCUUUUAUAUGGGAAUAAAAUGUUCCACGUGUGGGCUUUUGUAUGUACCCUAUGAAUAAGGAUCGGCUAACUCCGUGCCAGCAGCCGCGGUAACACGGAGGAUCCGAGCGUUAUCCGGAUUUAUUGGGUUUAAGGGGAGCGUAGGUGGAUUGUUAAGUCAGUUGUGAAAGUUUGCGGCUCAACCGUAAAAUUGCAGUUGAAACUGGCAGUCUUGAGUACAGUAGAGGUGGGCGGAAUUCGUGGUGUAGCGGUGAAAUGCUUAGAUAUCACGAAGAACUCCGAUUGCGAAGGCAGCUCACUGGACUGCAACUGACACUGAGGCUCGAAAGUGUGGGUAUCAAACGGGAUUAGAUACCCUAGUAGUC
rnacentral:rRNA from 1 species